AUCUUCACACAGUUGCCCCACCAUUAGAAUAGAGGAGCACAUGCCCCACUCCUCGCUGGCCACACAAUUCCUGCUUCUUUCCUGUAGCAGCCACAUGCACACUAUUAUGUAACACUGGGCUUGGAUGCCUGCUCUACCAACUAUUGAUCUUCAGAGGUUUUUUUUCCCUCUAUUGAUCAUAUUUGUUGAAUGGGGCCCCAUAAAAUUAGACUGAUAAAAGACAGAAGGAGAGAAGCAAAUUUAUUAACAUGUGCAUCAUGUGUAUGCAUGAGAAUGCUUGAUGGUGAGUAACUCAGAGGAAUGGUUAGAACUUGAACUCACAUGGUAUCUUAGCAAAGAAUAAGAAUCUUGCAGAGAAGUAAUAACCAAAGAAUAAGGAGUUUGAACUUCUAGGGCAGGCAGAUUGGGGGAAGGUAAAUGUAUGUGGAGGCUGAUGGAAGAUAACAUUUGUUAUACAGAUUCUUCUGGGAUUUCUCUGAGCAGAAUUUCUUGGAGAUGGUGACGCCAGUGGCAACAGCUGAUUAGGAGACCAUUCACUUACGUAGCUCCUGUUUCAUCUCAACAUUCACUAGCACACAUGAGCUCCUACUUUUUCUGCCUUCCGCAGAAUGAUGAUUUAGAGCUUUCUGAAUCUUUGUCACUUGAAUCACAGUUCCUAAGACCUGAAAUAAAGCCGUUUGGAUGGAUUCACUGUGAUAGGAAGCAGAGCACAGAUGGAGGGAGCCUUGGUAUCUGAGCCUUGGAAGAAGUUCACCUGCAGAGUUGUCCAACCAGCAUGAUACUGUUAAGUGGAUGAGAAAUAAAACAGUUGUGUAAAGUCA